AGAGCGAACGCUGGCGGCAGGCCUAAUACAUGCAAGUCGAACGGAUCCUUCGGGAUUAGUGGCGGACGGGUGAGUAACACGUGGGAACGUGCCCUUUGGUUCGGAACAACUCAGGGAAACUUGAGCUAAUACCGAAUGUGCCCUUCGGGGAAAGAUUUAUCGCCAUUGGAGCGGCCCGCGUCUGAUUAGCUAGUUGGUGAGGUAAAGGCUCACCAAGGCGACGAUCAGUAGCUGGUCUGAGAGGAUGAUCAGCCACACUGGGACUGAGACACGGCCCAGACUCCUACGGGAGGCAGCAGUGGGAAUAUUGGACAAUGGGGGCAACCCUGAUCCAGCAAUGCCGCGUGUGUGAAGAAGGCCUGAGGGUUGUAAACCUCUUUCAGCAGGGACGAAGCGAAAGUGACGGUACCUGCAGAAGAGCGCCGGCCAACUACGUGCCAGCAGCCGC
rnacentral:rRNA from 1 species